CAGGGAGACAACAAAAUGUUUAAUAUUAUUAUUUUGUCACCUUAGGUCGAUCGGUAUCUCACGUUCUUAAUUUGUAAAGAAUUUCAUUUCCUAAGUUUUUCUAGGUCACACCCAUUAUUUUUCCUGGGCCAUUAGCUCAGGUGGUUAGAGCGCACCCCUGAUAAGGGUGAGGUCCCUGGUUCAAGUCCAGGAUGGCCCAUAUCUCUAUGUUGGGGGUAUAGCUCAGUUGGUAGAGCGCCUGCUUUGCAAGCAGGAUGUCAGCGGUUCGAGUCCGCUUACCUCCACUGAUUACCACCUCUUCCAUAACUGGUAGAAAGGAAAUGUUUUGAGUUGUGAUUAUUAUUCUGAACGAAUCUAGCUUCCUAAUGAAAUCAUUAAGAUGCUGGACUCAUUGAAUUAAUUUCAUUGUUUUCAGAGAACCUUGACAACUGCAUAGAUUUUUUUAAAGACAAUAAGCAUCUUUAAUGAUGCAGAUUUAUUAUUUGUGCGAAUGCAUUAAUAACAAUUCUAUUAAGCUGAUGCUUCAAUUUUUGAAGUUAUU
rnacentral:tRNA from 1 species